ensembl:snoRNA
CAAUGCUUUGAGUUCAGUUCAGGGCAGCUGUCCUGUUCUGUUAAUUAAACCCUGGGACAUUGAACCUGCUGGGGUAGACGACAGCAUACAAAGUAUUACGUUAUUCAUUUACCUCCCAGCCUACAAAA